AUCAGACUUGCAGCCCUUGGCCAUGUCUCUAGGUAGAGAGGAUCUGUUUACCUACUUUUCCUACCCUCUGCAUUGAGUUGGUGUGUCUGUGGUGACCCAGUUAAAGGACUCCGACUUCCAUGAUUCUGGAGACCUGAUUCCGCCCCCUCCUCCUCAUCUCUUUUCCCAGAGGUCUCUGAGAACAGUGGACCUGAGUCCAGCAGUUAUGUGUCGCCACUCAGGGAGGAACACGAUGACCAGUUCUUUCAAAUGUUCCUCGCUGGUGAACUUCCACCUGGUACCAUAACCCAUUUCAGUUCCACCUAUGAGCAUGGCCACAAUGCUUAGACCGAUGUUGGCUUUGAGAGGGUUCCUCCUCCUGCCCCUGAAAGAAGGGCUCCUUCUCACCAAAGGAAAGUACAGAAUGACUCUAAAAUGAACACCAAGGUUCCUUUAGGUAUUUUACAGCCCUUUCUAACAUCCAAAAAGGCAAAUGCUUGAGCAAAAGCUCACGUAAAGCAGCCUUCAAAUCCUAAGAGAAAUUAGCAUUAAGGGGGUCCAUCUCAACACUAGACAGGAAACCUAAACGGGGGUAAGCCACAUUGUCUGUAAUUUGCAUUUUCACUCUGAAGUUGAACAUUGUUCUAAAAUGUCUAAUUUACCUCUUCGAUGGUGGUGUAUUUGUUCUGCAGUGACUGCCACAAAGAUCAACACUUUAAGCCUUGAAUUCAAUAAACUUUAAGAAC